GACAGAGGGGGCAAGCGUUGUCCGGACUUACUGGGCGUAAAGGGCGCGCAGGUGGUUGGUCGCGUUCGGGGUGAAAGCGCCCGGCUUAACCGGGCAGUGUCUCCGAAUACGGGCCGACUUGAGGGGUGCAGAGGGUGGUGGAAUUCCCGGUGUAGUAGUGAAAUGCGUAGAACUCGGGAGGAACACCAGUGGUGCAGACGGCCACCUGGGCACUACCUGACACUGAGGCGCGACAGCGUGGGGAGCGAACCGA
rnacentral:rRNA from 1 species